AGAGUUUGAUCAUGGCUCAGGAUGAACGCUGGCGGCGUGCCUAACACAUGCAAGUCGAGCGAUUUACUUCGGUAAAGAGCGGCGGACGGGUGAGUAACGCGUGGGUAACCUGCCCUAUACACACGGAUAACAUACCGAAAGGUAUGCUAAUACGAGAUAAUAUAAGAGAUUCACAUGGAUUUCUUAUCAAAGCUGAGGCGGUAUAGGAUGGACCCGCGUCUGAUUAGCUAGUUGGUAAGGUAACGGCUUACCAAGGCGACGAUCAGUAGCCGACCUGAGAGGGUGAUCGGCCACAUUGGAACUGAGACACGGUCCAAACUCCUACGGGAGGCAGCAGUGGGGAAUAUUGCACAAUGGGCGAAAGCCUGAUGCAGCAACGCCGCGUGAGUGAUGAAGGCCUUCGGGUCGUAAAACUCUGUCCUCAAGGAAGAUAAUGACGGUACUUGAGGAGGAAGCCCCGGCUAACUACGUGCCAGCAGCCGCGGUAAUACGUAGGGGGCUAGCGUUAUCCGGAUUUACUGGGCGUAAAGGGUGCGUAGGUGGUCUCUUAAGUCAGGAGUGAAAGGCUACGGCUUAACCGUAGUAAGCUCUUGAAACUGGGAGACUUGAGUGCAGGAGAGGAAAGUGGAAUUCCUAGUGUAGCGGUGAAAUGCGUAGAUAUUAGGAGGAACACCAGUAGCGAAGGCGGCUUUCUGGACUGUAACUGACACUGAGGCACGAAAGCGUGGGGAGCAAACAGGAUUAGAUACCCUGAUAGUCCACGCCGUAAACGAUGAGUACUAGGUGUCGGGGGUUACCCCCCUCGGUGCCGCAGCUAACGCAUUAAGUACUCCGCCUGGGGAGCACGCUCGCAAGAGUGAAACUCAAAGGAAUUGACGG
rnacentral:rRNA from 1 species